rnacentral:rRNA from 1 species
AUUGAACGCUGGCGGCAGGCCUAACACAUGCAAGUCGAGCGGUAGAGAGGUGCUUGCAUCUCUUGAGAGCGGCGGACGGGUGAGUAAUGCCUAGGAAUCUGCCCUAGUGGUGGGGGAUAACGUUCGGAAACGGACGCUAAUACCGCAUACGUCCUACGGGAGAAAGCGGGGGAUCUUCGGACCUCGCGCCAUUAGAUGAGCCUAGGUCGGAUUAGCUAGUUGGUGAGGUAAUGGCUCACCAAGGCGACGAUCCGUAACUGGUCUGAGAGGAUGAUCAGUCACACUGGAACUGAGACACGGUCCAGACUCCUACGGGAGGCAGCAGUGGGGAAUAUUGGACAAUGGGCGAAAGACCUGAUCAGCCAUGCGCGUGUGUGAAGAAGGU